rnacentral:rRNA from 1 species
ACGGAAGGCAGCAGUGGGGAAUAUUGCACAAUGGGCGCAAGCCUGAUGCAGCGAUGCCGCGUGAGGGAUGAAGGUUUUCGGAUUGUAAACCUCUGUCAACAGGGACGAAAAUGACGGUACCUGUGAAGGAAGCUCCGGCUAAUUACGUGCCAGCAGCCGCGGUAAUACGUAUGGAGCAAGCGUUAUCCGGAAUUACUGGGUGUAAAGGGAGUGUAGGCGGGACUGUAAGUCAGAUGUGAAAUAUGGCGGCUCAACUGGCAGACUGCAUUUGAAACUGCGGUUCUUGAGUGAAGUAGAGGUAAGCGGAAUUCCUAGUGUAGCGGUGAAAUGCGUAGAUAUUAGGAGGAACAUCAGUGGCGAAGGCGGCUUACUGGGCUUUAACUGACGCUGAGGCUCGAAAGCGUGGGGAGCAAACAGGAUUAGAUACCCUGGUA